rnacentral:rRNA from 1 species
GGCGGCGUGGAUUAGGCAUGCAAGUCGAACGGUAUAAACCUUCGGGGUUUAGAGAGUGGCGAACGGGUGAGUAACACGUAGGUAAUCUACCCUCAAAACGGGGACAACCCAGGGAAACUUGGGCUAAUACCGGAUGCGUGCAAGCAAUGUUUUGGCUGUUAAUGCUAUUCACGGAAGUGAGUAGUGUUAAUGGUUGAGAGCAUUAUUUGCAUAAAAGGUGGCAUAUGCUGCCGUUUGAGGAUGAGCCUGCGUCCUAUUAGUUAGUUGGUGAGGUAAUGGCUUACCAAGGCGAUGAUAGGUAGGCGGCCUUAACGGGUGGUCGCCCACACUGGGAUUGAGACACGGCCCAGACUCCUACGGGAGGCAGCAGUGGGGAAUUUUGGACAAUGGGCGAAAGCCUGAUCCAGCCAUGCCGCGUGCGGGAAGAAGGCCUUCGGGUUGUAAACCGCUUUAGUCCGGGAAAAGGGGUGCGAGGAUAAUACCCUUGUGCUUUGAUGGUACUGGAAGAAUAAGCACCGGCUAACUACGUG